rnacentral:sRNA from 1 species
AAGGGCAUGAGACCAGCGACUGGAACAGCUACUACGCGGACACGCAGGAGCGAGCGGGAGCAGGAGCCGGGCCCGGGGUGCAGCGGGAGGGCGAGCGCCGAUGCGAGUUGGAAGCAACUCUGAGAAAGCCGGAGCAUACCCGCAAGGCGACCUCUUCGUCCCACCGUUUAAUUCUCAGACGUCUUCUGAUUAAAGCGCUCUGCCGCCAAGUUGGGUGUCUCAAUAAUGAAACGAUUUCUAAAUUUUGUAAAACUUGUUCUUCAAAAGCCCUGUUUGGGGAGAAGUGUGCUCCUUCUCUAAAACCGCUGGGUGGCGCUAGUGCGACCAAAAUCUUCAGAACUCUGGGCCGAGAACCUGUUUUUCUUCAUUGUCCCCUUGGUGGCACGUUCAUGGGGGUUAUUUUUACAAUAUGCACAAAAGGAUUACAGGGAAAACCAGGUACAGGGAGGACUACCACCUGUUAAAAGUAUUUUUCUGGAAACAGCUGGCGAUUAUCCCCCAAAAGUUUAAUUACCAUUAUUGAAAACGCGUAUUGGAACUGCCUUGGAUAAUCUUGGGAAGAAGGAAAGAAAAUAAAGCCCCAAGGUAAAAAAUACUUUUAAGACGUGGACAGAAAAAUAUAGAAUCACGUAAUAUUUUGAUGGUAACUGACUUAUUCAGAUUUAUAUAUUCACAAGUUUACCUCUGAGUUUAUUUGCAUACAUAGUUUACUGGGCGUUCCUAUUUAAAUCUGUUCUCAUGUUUUCAAAUUGAGUCAUACUUGCUGAUUCAAAUAAACUUA